CCGAAGAACUUGGAGGAAUUGUGAGAACCAAGGAGGUCGACGUCUUAUGAUCCUUUUGAGAAGUUCCUGAGCCCCCCUCCUGUUUCCCUCGUUGUUUGUCACCGCUAAAAUCUAAAACAGCAACGACAGCUCUGCCGAAUAACAGGCGCCACAGACGACUGUCGUCUUCAUCUCUGACAGACUGGGGGCCAGAAGCCGGAUCAGUUCCACGCAGGUGUCAUUCUCAGCCUCCUCUUCUGGCUUCGGAGGCUUCGUCAGGUAAUCCGCCGCGAGCUCCGAGCCUCCGUGAGCCAAGGCAUCGAUGAAGGCCCAGAACCAUCCCUGCUUAUGAGGCCUCUCAAUCACGGUGCUUAGGAGCAAAUCUGCCGCUGCGAUGUCACCGUCUGUGAUUGACUUCUGCUUGAUCCGAUCUUUACACUCCUGGUCGAGAAAGUGUAAAUAAGGCAGCACCUGUUCCACGGCUAUUUUACCUUUCAGCUUGAACCUGGUGCUGUCAAUGAGGUGCUCGAAUCCUUCAUCUGCUUCAGAUGUCAUGAUGGAUCACCUGGACGAAAGAGAGACACUCAGCUACUGCAGUUCCUUUAUCUGCAGAACAUCUGGACCAGCAGCUCUGCAUGUGAAAUGCCACCGGCUUCAUUACAGACCUUCCUCCCUUUUCUUAUGUCUUCCGGAACUGCACGGAACAAUUCAGCGAGAGGUUUUGACCCCAUGACCAACCGACUAUUAAAGAAAUGUCACACCCAAUUAUAGACUCUUUCGGUCUGCAACACACAAGGACUCCGACUUGAACUAGCUCUCCAGUUUCACAAGUGUAAGUACAAAAUCUGUGCUGUUAAAUGUUUGAAUUUGCCUUUAUUUUGUGUUUUCAUUCCUUUUUUUUUGUUUGUUUUAUUGUCCUAGCUCUCUGCAACCCUCUAGUUGCAUAGCAACAAAUUGAAUCUUGAAUAUUUAGUAGAUCCUGUCUUUCUCUCUCUGUCACAAAGAGUGUUUUAAGAGCAGCGUUUUUAUGGAUUUAGAACAAACAAGGUUUACUGCACACUGACCACUUUUAAUUGCACUUCAGACUGCGAGCUGAGCUAAUGCACUUAGAGGCACUCGCAUUUCCCUCACUUAAGCAAUGAGGCGGGGACGCAGAGAAAAUGCAGGAAUGACAAAGAACUUUUGGUAAACAUUGGUGAGAAAAAGGAAAUAAACACAAAUAUAUAUGUUUGUCAAAGGAAAAUAAAGUAAGAAAGUAAAAACCCCUACAAUGUACUCAUAAAGAAAAAAAUCUAACAAUAAUAUAUAAAUAAAAUAGUAAAUUCAUUGUAAAAUAAGUAUAUAUGGAAUAAAUAGGGCUGGGAAUUACUGGGUACCU